UUUUCCCGAGAGGGGGGGGAUAACGCGUGAGAAUCUGCCUUCAGGUCGGGGAUAACGACUGGAAACGGUCGCUAAUACCGGAUGUGCCGAGAGGUGAAAGCUUAAUGUGCCUGAAGAUGAGCUCGCGUCCGAUUAGCUAGUUGGUGGGGUAAGAGCCUACCAAGGCGGUGAUCGGUAGCUGGUUUGAGAGGAUGAUCAGCCACACUGGGACUGAGACACGGCCCAGACUCCUACGGGAGGCAGCAGUGGGGAAUUUUCCGCAAUGGGCGCAAGCCUGACGGAGCAAUACCGCGUGCGGGAGGAAGGCUUUUGGGUCGUAAACCGCUUUUAUUGGGGAAGAAGUUCUGACGGUACCCAAUGAAUCAGCAUCGGCUAACUCCGUGCCAGCAGCCGCGGUAAUACGGAGGAUGCAAGCGUUAUCCGGAAUUAUUGGGCGUAAAGCGUCCGCAGGUGGCUGGUCAAGUCUGCUGUUAAAGCGUAGAGCUUAACUCUAUAUCGGCAGUGGAAACUGGACAGCUAGAGUACGGUAGGGGUAGCGGGAAUUCCCAGUGUAGCGGUGAAAUGCGUAGAUAUUGGGAAGAACACCAGCGGCGAAAGCGCGCUACUGGGCCUGUACUGACACUGAGGGACG
rnacentral:rRNA from 1 species